rnacentral:rRNA from 1 species
AUUGCUGUAGUAUUUUGACUAUACAAAGGUAUUGAAAUAAGACUUUAAUUGAGUGCUAAGAGAAUGGAUUAACAAAAAAAUUCUUUUUUAAUUUUAAAAAUUAAAGUUAUUUUUGUUAGUGAAGAAACUACAAUAAAAAUUAAGGACAAGAAGACCCUAAGAAUUUUUAAUAAUUUUGUUAUAAUAAAUAAUAAAAAUUAUUUUAAUUGGGGCGAUUAACAAAAAUAAAAAACUUUGUUUUUUUAAAAAAGAACCACUAUUAUUGGUCUUAUGAAAAAAAUACUCUAGGGAUAACAGCGUAAUAAUUUUUAAUAGUUCAUAUAGACAAAAUAGUUUGCGACCUCGAUGUUGGAUUAGGAUUCUUAACUAAUGAAGAAGUUAGUCAAAGAAGUUUGUUCAACUUUUAAAUUCCUACUUG